AGAAUUGAAUAGAACUAAAUCUUGUUCCUAAGUACUAGUGCCGCAGGAGUGCUUUAAUUAUCUCCUGCUGCUUAAGUGCUUAUCAAUAGAUUUAGUCCAACUACGUUU
rnacentral:pre_miRNA from 2 species